UACGUAGGGUGCAAGCGUUAAUCGGAAUUACUGGGCGUAAAGCGCGCGCAGGCGGUUUCGCAAGGCAGAUGUGAAAUCCCCGGGCUUAACCUGGGAAUUGCAUUUGUGACUGCACGGCUAGAGUGUGUCAGAGGGGGGUAGAAUUCCACGUGUAGCAGUGAAAUGCGUAGAUAUGGGGAGGAACACCGAUGGCGAAGGCAGCCUCCUGGGCCAGCACUGACGCUCAUGCGCGAAAGCGUGGGGAGCAAACAGG
rnacentral:rRNA from 1 species